rfam:Oryza glumipatula chromosome 6, whole genome shotgun sequence.
AAUAAGUGUAGUUUUACACUAUUCACGUUCAAUAUUUGACCGUUUAUCUUAUUUAAAAAUAUUUUAUGAUUAGUAUUUUUAUUGAUAUUAGAUGAUAAAACAUGAAUAGUACUUUAUAUGUGACUAAAUAUUUUUAAAUUUUUCACAAAUUUUUCAAAUAAGACGGACGGUCAUACGUUGAGCACGAAUAUCCACGACUGCAUUUAUU